rnacentral:rRNA from 1 species
CGAUGAAACUUUAACAGAACCCUUCGGGGCGAAGAUAAAGUGGAUUAGCGGCGGACGGGUGAGUAACACGUGAGUAACCUGCCUUAGACAUUGGGAUAGCCUCGGGAAACCGGGAUUAAUACCAAAUAAAAUCAUAAUGACACAUGUCAUAACGAUCAAAACUCCGGUGGUCUAAGAUGGACUCGCGUCCCAUUAGCUAGUUGGUAGAGUAAAAGCCUACCAAGGCGACGAUGGGUAGCCGACCUGAGAGGGUGAACGGCCACAUUGGAACUGAGAAACGGUCCAAACUCCUACGGGAGGCAGCAGUGGGGAAUAUUGCACAAUGGAGGGAACUCUGAUGCAGCGACGCCGCGUGAACGAAGAAGGCUUUCGAGUCGUAAAGUUCUUUUAUAUGGGAAGAUAAUGACGGUACCAUAAGAAAAAGCCCCGGCUAACUAC